rnacentral:lncRNA from 1 species
GUUGUGAACUCGUGCGAGCACGUGGGCGUGCGCGAAGUUGUGUCAGUCAUGCGCGUCAAGGGAUUUUUCUCAUUCGGUUACUCCAAGUAGUAGGAGUAAAUUAUCAAGUUAGAAAGAGAGAGAGAGAGAAUGCAGGCGAUCGUAAAAAGACGACCACGACGACCCCCGGUGGAAAGCACGAACAACGCGUUAUGCGAGCAGCGGCGGUGCUUUCUCUUUAAACAAUUUCAAUUAAUCAUAUCAUCAUCGUAAAAGAGGAUAUUCCGAGAUCUUUGUUCUCACACUUUCUUGCACGUUGCAUGGAAAAUUGGUCAAAACGCAAUCAUCGUUGGAUAGAACGAUAGACCGCGUGGGGUGACCGAGUGACGUGUGCGCGCCAUAUUGAAUGAAUGACGCAAUCUGUACACAAAACAUUACGCGUGCAUCUCGAAGAAAGCGGUUUUGGAGCAAUGAAUCGUUGUUAACACUCGUAGACGAGUUUUCGUUCUUUGACGACGUAAUCUUCCUUUACUUUCCUCUUUCUCUCUCUUGCUGUUUCGGUCCAUCCCCACUCUCGUUCCUUCUGCCACACUGUGUCAUUCUCUAUCCCGCGUCCUCUCAUUAUUUCGCUCGCUCGCGUUAGUAAGGGACGUCACGCGUUGAUAGCGUAACGAUACGUGCUCGUAACCGAGCUUGUGUACUACGAAGAUAGAUCGUUGAGUCGCCGCCGCGUCGUUCGACGGGUACUACGAGCGCGCGCGGCCGCGCGCGCCUAAUUUUCAUAUUGACAAAACGAUAAAUACAAAUUAAAAGAAUGGCCGCGAAAAGUACUACCGAUUUAGUUGACUAUCUCGGAGAUUAUAGAAGAUACUUCGAAGAGUUCAUCCGAAAAA